AUUUAACUUGAAUCAUAGAGUCUUUAUAUAUGACACCGUAUUAUUUCGGACUAUGAAAAACACAAUAGGAAGGCUAAGAGUUACUCGAUCUUUCGGGGCCGCAAGGUACGUCCCUUUUACUUACUAAGAACAUUUUUUUUUUAUCUUAUAUACUAGUAAUUAUUUAUUGAUGGAUGAGGCAGUAGUAUUGAUACUUUUUUUAUCAAUAAAUAUUAAUUUUUUAAUUUAUUAGAUUUUUGUUAGGAAGAGAUUUGAACCUAAGAUCUAUCUCUCCUUACCUUAAAUCUUCGGGCAGUAGUCGUACGUGGUGGGGCUUGACUGACUUGUUAUGAGUCAAGGUUGAUAUGUUUCUGAAACUGUUUCAAUAUGGCUUUUCAUAGAAAAUUUGCAGAUUCUUAAUUGUGGAUUUCUUUUAUGAUGGAUCGAAUUUUCUUUUCUUGUUCACACUAAUUUAGUCUGGCUUUUACCAUGGAUGUUUUUUUUUUCAUCGAUGCUAAAUGCUUUUGAGUCUUACACAUAUUGACACUUGAACCACUUAGGGUUUGUUGACUAUAUAAUUUUCGUUUUCAAAAUACAAUUAAACAAGUCAUUCAAACAAUUGGUGGAAACUGGUGCAAAACAUCAAGUAAAGUAUACAAUUGAGAGAUAAGUUAAGUAAACGAGAUCAAAAUAGAAGAUAGUAAAAAAUAUCUCUAGAUUGUUUCUAUAUUUUUAUUUGAUUUAAUUGUAUUUUUUAUUUAUAACUUUUAAAUUUUUUAUGAAUUUUACCACAAAUAAAUUAAUUUGAUAUUUU
rnacentral:lncRNA from 1 species